UUGAUCCAUCCACUCAAAACGCGCCGUUUAUGAACUUCCUCAACUUGUCCAAGGUCACUAACUCGCAGACGGGUUGACUGGCGAUGCCCAUUUUUUGAAUACAUACUUUCGUCCAUACUCAGCGCAACUCCCGAGGCUGCUACGUGAGCCUCCAGUUCUAUUUUUAUUACUACUUAGUUUUAGUUUAAAAUUGAGAAGGGAAGGCAGCACUCCUGGUCAUGAUUCUGAUUUUGAAUUUCUUGUCAAAGUAGUGGCUGUUGUGAACCAUCUGAAAGAUAUCUGAGUUUGGAUUGAGCACAUCAUGAAGCUGGAGUGCGUGGCGCUGGAGGACGGCGCGGGGGUGCGGGGGAGUUGGUCCGCGCGUGCGCCCGCUGCCGCGCCGAGCUCGGGCGCAUCAUCAACCGCGGCGCCCUCUGCAAGAUGUGCAAGCUCCGCGUCUGCAAGUCCUGCCGCGAGUACUUCACCGCCGCCACCACUGCGCCCACCGAGUGGCUCUGCACGGCCUGCUACAAGAACAAUGAAUUUCAAAUUGCAGAUUCUGACUGGAUAACUGAUUAUGUUCGAUGCUCAGCUCCAAAACUUCUUGCAGGGAGCAGAAUAAGUAACAUACAUAGUAUAAAAAAUUGUGUGCAGCGAUCCUUCACAUUUUCAGAUACAAAACCAUCCCGAUGGGCAGCCUUACGUGGAUCCCCGGAGUUGCGCGCGUACAGCAGCAUGCCUCGUCAUCAGGACGGUGACUAUGCCCCAUCAGUUUUUAGACGAAGAAACAAAUGCAGCAUGAUCAAAGCAGAAAACGAACAAAUCAAACCCGAGCCGACUGUAGAACGAUGCCCUGUAAAUAUGAAAGAUGAAAAUUCUGUAUUAAAAACAGAUACUCCUUCAACGGCAGAUGACUCUGUGGAAACAAACGAUGAGAGCAGUCCAGUUAACUUCAUCAAAAUUGUUGACUCGUGUGGAUUGGUCCUGGAUAUCCCAGCAGUGGCAACCUCUGAUGAGCUCAUCGUGGAUGACUCUGAACAGAGUAAUGCCCAGACCAAUAAUGAGAGCCCACAGCCUUCCGCCAGUACAAAGAUGACUAAGGUCUACCGUAAAAAGUCAACUGGCUCCCUCAAGUCCUCUUUUCUUGAUUCGCUAUCGAAUCGAGUUCAAGAAGUGACGAGAAGAAGGAAAGCAAUAGAUUUUCGCAAUCUUCCUCCAGGUGUGACGCCUCCGCGUAGUCGGCGCUUCAAACACCCGGAGGAAGGUGACGCAACACUAGAUCCGGUGGCCCAGGUGUUAUUCCCGGACUCGGACGACUACCGCCUCGUCUUCAUAAGCUCCUCGGACUCCUCGUCGCGCGAGGAGCUGCCCUACGGGUCCGCCUCCGAAGACGAGAAAUCCUCCACCUCUUCCCUGGUCCACCCCUCUCUGGAGGACGGCGACUGGGACUAUUUCGAGGACCCGCCGCCGGGGAGCGCCAUCGGUUCCUUCUCGGCCGCCGCGCCAGAUCGCGCCAGCACCGUCGCGGAGCGCGCCGCGUUUCCCGCCACCGCGCCGGAGUUCAGUUUCGUUUCGAGUCUCCUCUCUUGCGCGUCGCCCGUGCAGCCGCUCGUAGUGCCCGUUCCGAUCCCGAUCCCGAUCCUAGUGCCAGUGCCGUGGAACCCCGAGUUGACCAUCCGCGUCGAGCACGGUGUGUCGCCCGCGCUUCGCACCCUCUUCCAGCAGAACUGGAGCGAGUACGUUCGCGGGUUCGGUGCGGUGACGGGGUCGCCAGCGCCCUCUAGCGGGGGCCCCGCGCAAAGUGCAGUGCAGUGCGAUGAAGGGGUGAGCGGCGGAGAUGCGCCCCCCGUGAGUGACGAGAUGGAUUUGCCGGACGUGUGCCCCGAACACGACGCGUCGAGGAAGAAGUUCGCCACCCUCCCGCUCAGCGAGCUCCGCUCCGUCGGGGAGAUCCUCUCCAAGAAGCCGGUCGCGGAGGACCAGACGGAUGAUGCCGGGGAGAUAGUCCUCAAGAAGUACCAGGUCAUCGAGGAUGCUGCCGAUCACAGCCCUGACCCGGUCAGCUUGAACAAUAUUAUCAACAAGCAGCUCACCUCUGAGUUUUCCGUCUCUGACUCGGAUGCUUCUGACAACGAAGAGAAUUCGGUACAACGAAUAUACAACCUCCACAAGUCGGCGGAUUCUGAAGAUUCAGAGUCUUCGGCAGAGGAUGACAUCGAAGAGGAGAAGACCCAUGAUUUAGUCUCCCUGAGUAAUUUAGAUGCUAGUCCUGGUGUUGAAACUCUAAUGUCAGAUGUUUCCAAUGUUACUGAACUAAGUCAGGACUCUUUGAACCCACCAGAACAAACCCAGAUGCCACCUAGUUCAAUAAGCAACAAAGUAAAAAGUAGAUCGAAAAUAUCCCAAAAAUAUCUGCACGGCUGGAUAAAUUUAACAAAGUGGAUCAGUCAG
rnacentral:lncRNA from 1 species